rnacentral:rRNA from 1 species
CUCGAACGCUGGCGGCAGGUCUAACACAUGCAAGUCGAGCGGAGCGGCUGUUGGGCGAGUAAUGCCCACGAAUCUGCCUGGCUGUGGGCGAUAACGUCCGGAAACGGGCCCUACUACCGCAUACUAUCUGAUCAGCCUAGGCCGCAUUAGCUAGUUGGUGGGGUAAAGGCCUACCAAGGCGACGAUCCGUAACUGGUCUGAGAGGAUGAUCAGUCACACUGGGACGGAGACACGGUCCAGACGCCUACAGGAGGCAGCAGUGGGGAAUAUUGGACAAUGGGCGAAAGCCUGAUCCAGCCAUGCCGCGUGUGUGAAGAAGGUCUUCGGAUUGUAAAGCACUUUAAGUUGGGAGGCGUUACCAGCAUAAUAAGCACCGGCUAACUUCGUGCCAGCAGCCGCGGUAAUUC